UUCUUUCCUUUCACUUUUCUUUUAUUUCCAUUUCUUUCCUUUAUAAUCUUAAUUUCCCAUAUCAGAAUUCCAAUAUUGUUCUUGAUAGUAGUUUUAUCUAAUUGGAAAAGAAUAUGAUUAAACUAGCUAAGGAUGAAUGAAGCCCUUGGUUUCUGAACUUCAAUUCCUACUCUCAAAGCUUAAAGGUAGAUUUGGAGAACAAUUUGACUUCCCUCUUCAGGUCUGGUCUGAUCAGCAAUAUCAGCUAAAUUUCUACUUGCAAAUUUCAAAACUUGUAAAUACAAACCCUGGUUUUUUUUUUUCAUGUAGUCUGUGUGUUGUGCACCUUCAAUUUUUCUACAUCAUUCAUACUAAGCCUUGCCUUUAAGCUAGUUAUGAAAUUUUGGGCCUCUGCAACCAUUGGCUUUAUUUGAAUGUUCACACUUUAAUAUGUGCUUUAACAAUAACGAUUCGAGACGCAUAUGUGGAUCGUGCCAAGCAAUAACAUCCAGCUAGCCAUUGGAGUUACUCUGCAUCCAUGUCAAUUGCCCUGAAUACAGACUUCUCUGCCUCAAAUUGAUUGGCCAUUUGUCUUCUUCCAACCAGUUUGAACUUUCUUUCCCUCUUGUAGUGAAGAAACCAAGGAUUGAGAUGACCGUGAGCCUUAAUGAUUAUCACUCAGUCUUCAUGCUCUUGAUUGCUUUUUCUUGGCUGCAUAAUUCAUAUACACCAGAAGUCUGAUCACAAAUGCACAAAUACAUGCCUACUUAGUCUCAAACCUGAGAGGGUGAGGAGGCGUAAUUAUGCCUGAGGCCACUUUCCAUGGCUUCGCCUCUUUUCUUUUCUAUGCCACAUCAUUAGCUUUUCCAAGGAAGCUCUUGCAAAAUUCAGAUCAGUGGUUCAAGGUUGAGUAUGGCCUUUCAUGUGGAAAUCUGAAAGUUCAUCCGUGAUAGUUAUAAUCUCUUCCAUAAAGGUGGAAACAAACAGGCAAAGUGGAAAAGAAAAA